UACGUAGGGUGCAAGCGUUGUCCGGAAUUAUUGGGCGUAAAGAGCUCGUAGGCGGCUUGUCACGUCGGGUGUGAAAGCCCGGGGCUUAACCCCGGGUCUGCAUUCGAUACGGGCUAGCUAGAGUGUGGUAGGGGAGAUCGGAAUUCCUGGUGUAGCAGUGAAAUGCGUAGAUAUCGUAAGGAAGGCCGGUGGCGAAAGCGAGCCUCUGGACAGUUACUGACGCUGAUGCACGAAGGCCAGGGGAGCAAACGGG
rnacentral:rRNA from 1 species